rnacentral:rRNA from 1 species
CUACGGGAGGCAGCAGUGGGGAAUAUUGCACAAUGGGCGCAAGCCUGAUGCAGCGACGCCGCGUGGGGGAAGACGGCCUUCGGGUUGUAAACCCCUUUCAGUUGGGACGAAGCUUCGCCGGUGAACAGCCGGCUGGAGUGACGGUACCUUCAGAAGAAGCCCCGGCUAACUACGUGCCAGCAGCCGCGGUAAUACGUAGGGGGCAAGCGUUGUCCGGAAUCAUUGGGCGUAAAGAGCGUGUAGGCGGCCCGGUAAGUCCGCCGUGAAAGUCCAGGGCUCAACCCUGGGAUGCCGGUGGAUACUGCCGGGCUCGAGUCCGGAAGAGGCGAGUGGAAUUCCUGGUGUAGCGGUGAAAUGCGCAGAUAUCAGGAGGAACACCAAUGGCGAAGGCAGCUCGCUGGGACGGUACUGACGCUGAGGAGCGAAAGCGUGGGUAGCAAACAGGAUUAGAUACCCCAGUAGUCC